UCUUGGUCAUUUAGAGGAAGUAAAAGUCGUAACAAGGUUUCCGUAGGUGAACCUGCGGAAGGAUCAUUAAUCGAAUAAACAUGUUUCUCAGCAUGAAUUUCAAAACCCAUCUGUGUACCAUACCUGUUGCUUCCGUGCUGCGCGUGCAGAAAAGUAUGCCGCCAAGGCCUUCUCUCCAUGUCGAGGGUUCCCUGGUGUGUCGGCACGGAAGGUUUUACAGCAAACUCUUGCAUUUCCAUGUCUUCUGUCUGAACUGUCAUACACAAUAAGUUAAAACUUUCAACAACGGAUCUCUUGGUUCUCGCAUCGAUGAAGAACGCAGCGAAAUGCGAUAAGUAGUGUGAAUUGCAGAAUUCCGUGAAUCAUCGAAUCUUUGAACGCACAUUGCGCCUCCUGGUAUUCCGGGAGGCAUGCCUGUUCGAGCGUCAUUAAAAUCACAUCAAGCACUUUUGCAUGGUCAUGGAGGAAGAGCCCACCUGGUGUGUGGACUCCCCGCCGAAAUGCAAUGGCGGAAAGUCUCUGAUACUCGGCGUAGUAGUAACGUUCGCUUUGUGUUCGGAGUCAUUCCUGCCAGCAAAACCCCCCACAAUUCUUUGAUUGACCUCGGAUCAGGUAGGGAUACCCGCUGAACUUAAGCAUAUCAAUAAGCGGAGGAA
rnacentral:rRNA from 1 species